UGCAGUUGCAACUCUGGUUUUAUUGACGUUAAAUUUAUCCAUAGCUUAAUGGUCAUGAAUUUACCGCUAUAGAAAUUAAGUGGCGACUCUGCUGGGGAGUAGUCUCCAGUGGGUUUAGCCUACUUUUUUGUGUGUAUAUAACUGUAUAUUUGAUUUUUGUAUAUUUGUUUGUAUGAUAUGAUUUGCUUGUUGUGCUUAGUGAUCUC
rnacentral:lncRNA from 1 species